CCUGGGCCCCCCCAGGCCAACGGGGGCUCCUCGGGCGCAGGGUGCUCAGCUUCUGCCCGGGCCCCACUCAGUCCGGGGUCCGAGUCUCAGCUCCCCUCCCCCUUCUCUCCCCAGCGCCCCCGACCCUUUAACUGGCCCCUUCCCGGCCCCCACUGCCCAGGGGUCUAGGGCCCGGCCUGGGCCCCCCCACCGUUUCCGGGGUUCAAGCCCCGCCCACCACCGGUUCCCGGGGAGGGGGGGGUCCCUGUAACCUGCCCCCCUCCCCUGGGUCCUCCCCCAGGCUGCGGCCCCUGCGCUACCACUAUCGGGCGAGCCGAGGGGGGUGAAGGGAGCGGCUCCGGGCCC